UAGGGAAUCUUCCACAAUGAGCAAGUCUGAUGGAGCAACGCCGCGUGAGUGAAGAAGGUCUUCGGAUCGUAAAACUCUGUUGUUAGAGAAGAACACGAGUGAGAGUAACUGUUCAUUCGAUGACGGUAUCUAACCAGCAAGUCACGGCUAACUACGUGCCA
rnacentral:rRNA from 1 species